UACGGAGGGUGCAAGCGUUAUCCGGAUUCACUGGGUUUAAAGGGUGCGUAGGCGGACAGGUAAGUCAGUGGUGAAAUCUCUGGGCUUAACUCAGAAACUGCCGUUGAUACUAUUUGUCUUGAAUAUCAUGGAGGUAAGCGGAAUAUGUCAUGUAGCGGUGAAAUGCUUAGAUAUGACAUAGAACACCGAUAGCGAAGGCAGCUUACUACAUGGAGAUUGACGCUGAGGCACGAAAGCGUGGGGAGCAAACAGG
rnacentral:rRNA from 1 species